CGGGAUUUAGCUGAGUGGCACAGCGUUUGCCUGGCAAGCAAGAGCUCCGACUUCAAUUCUCAGUACCAA
rnacentral:tRNA from 1 species